GCAGUCAUUUACGAGCAGCAGCGAAGAUUAGUUGCAUGAGCCAAAUAGUGAUUGACCGAUAUUUGGAAUUGGAAUGAGGCUAUCAUGUUAUCUGUAGGCAAACAGAAUCGGUCUGAAGUUCCUGUUUUUUCCAUUCGUAUGAUGCAACCAAUUAUUUUGGAAAUAAAAUAACUCUUCAGAGGCAGUCUAUUUACCAAGCAGAUGCCAGGGGGGGAUUAAGUUGGCAACAUAUGACUAGCUUUUGUAGCUGAAAAUUUGAUGCAAUAAAUUUGAUGCAAUCUAUGCUUAAUUUGAAGAGUUAUAGGUACAGCUUUGUUAUAUACAUUUAGUUUAAUGCCAAAUAAUAUGCAACAAUGAAUGAUGUCAUUCAACAAUCGGAAUCAGGCCGAUUGUGACUUGGUGGGUCAAUCACUAGAGACAAAGCAACCUGGCAAGUGAAGCUUUUUACUUCGGCUUCGCUACAACAGAAGUACAAUUUCAGAAGCACAUUACGAUGAUGGAUCUACAAAUCCCUUCAACAAGUAGUAGUAUAGCCACGUUAGUUCAAUUAUAUCCAACACCCAAAUAUCAACACAACCGAAAUAAUUUGGUUUCGUAAAUUAAUUCAACAACACAAGGUGCAUCCUUUAUUAAAUGUUGUUUUCACACAAGUAACAAAUAUAAAGAUCCUAAGUCAAC